UACGGAGGGAGCUAGCGUUGUUCGGAAUUACUGGGCGUAAAGCGCACGUAGGCGGCUUUCUAAGUCAGGGGUGAAAUCCCGGAGCUCAACUCCGGAACUGCCUUUGAUACUGGAAAGCUUGAGUUCGGGAGAGGUGAGUGGAACUGCGAGUGUAGAGGUGAAAUUCGUAGAUAUUCGCAAGAACACCAGUGGCGAAGGCGGCUCACUGGCCCGAUACUGACGCUGAGGUGCGAAAGCGUGGGGAGCAAACAGG
rnacentral:rRNA from 1 species